rnacentral:rRNA from 1 species
CUGGUUGAUCCUGCCAGUAGUCAUAUGCUUGUCUCAAAGAUUAAGCCAUGCAUGUCUAAGUAUAAGCAAUCUAUACAGUGAAACUGCGAAUGGCUCAUUAAAUCAGUUAUCGUUUAUUUGAUAGUACCUUACUACUUGGAUAACCGUGGUAAUUCUAGAGCUAAUACAUGCUAAAAAUCCCGACCUCUGGAAGGGAUGUAUUUAUUAGAUAAAAAACCAAUGCCUUCGGGCUCCUUGGUGAUUCAUGAUAACUUUACGAAUCGCAUGGCCUUGUGCCGGUGAUGGUUCAUUCAAAUUUCUGCCCUAUCAACUUUCGAUGGUAGGAUAGUGGCCUACCAUGGUUUCAACGGGUAACGGGGAAUUAGGGUUCUAUUCCGGAGAGGGAGCCUGAGAAACGGCUACCACAUCCAAGGAAGGCAGCAGGCGCGCAAAUUACCCAAUCCCGACACGGGGAGGUAGUGACAAUAAAUACUGAUACAGGGCCUUUACAGGUCUUGUAAUCGGAAUGAGUACAAUUUAAAUCCCUUAACGAGGAACAAUUGGAGGGCAAGUCUGGUAAU